AUACGGAGGGUGCAAGCGUUAUUCGGAAUUACUGGGCGUAAAGCGCACGUAGGCCGCUUUGUAAGUCAGGGGUGAAAUCCCACGGCUCAACCGUGGAACUGCCCUUGAAACUGCGAAGCUUGAAUCCUGGAGAGGGUGGCGGAAUUCCUGGUGUAGGAGUGAAAUCCGUAGAUAUCAGGAGGAACACCGGUGGCGAAGGCGGCCACCUGGACAGGUAUUGACGCUGAGACGCGAAAGCGUGGGGAGC
rnacentral:rRNA from 1 species